rnacentral:lncRNA from 1 species
CAACGAUCCAUCUAUCGCGCGAACGAAGCGACGCGACGUUAUCGGUGCACCUAGCUAAACAACUCCCUUAAAAUAUACGUUCCAUCGAUCGCGAACUAACUGCGCACUAGCGUCGCGACGUAACACUCUCGCAAUCUGAUUGCCCUGCUAAUGGGCCGGACACUUCUUCGGGAAGCCACAGAAGGCAAUUGACGCGUGUAAAUAACAGGUCGCGACGCAACCAUUCGACGAAUUUCAACAGCGAGAAACGACAGCGUAGUUUAGCUGCUAAUUACCUGUAACAACACGAGUUUCGCCUCGAUUUACUCGAUAUUCCUCGGGGAUUCGCGAUAGCCAAUUUCCUACGUCAACUACCUUGACUAGCCUUCGCGGAGGAAUACGGAAAUCGGUAUACAUUGGAACGAAAACAGAUAGCACGAGGAAAGUUUUUCACCUUGGAUACAUCAAAUAUUCUACGUCGUAUGUUGUUCGCGUUACAAGUAGGCUAAUAUUAAACGACAUCGCUGAUGAUUCUGGAACUCUGUGUUCUAGCCGUCAAUUAAACGACUACGGAAAGAAAAUUAGGAUGAAAAUUGCAAAGACAGUUGGCACCGGUGGUCUUGACUUUUUGACUAAUGCGUCGCGACGAUACCAUACGAUAUUAGCUGUUUCCGCUGACUAGAGAGGGUUUACUAAUCUACCUAUCCUCUUGAUCGCUCGUGUUUCAACGAGGAUUAGCUUCAGGAACCAAGUUCAUUAACCUGUGCAGCAUUUCAUUCUACCGGAGAUCAUCAAUCUUCUGAAAUGGCUUCUUUUCUUUGCUUUCUUCGUACCAAAUUAUCUGUACUCUUCUUAUACACGCGUAUAAGAAGAAAGAAAGAAAGAAACAAAUUAACGAGAGAACGAUUCCGAAUACCGGUAAGGCGACGUUAAUUAUCGUAGAAUCGUGUUAAGAAAUUAGCAACUCGAUUCUACUAUUAUUUCAUUCUGUCACAGAUACAAAUAUUUGAUUUUGAGUUUCCACUUGGCGUCGUUAAUGCAACGUUAAAUUAACGCGUUGAUUGCCACGGGAGUUUCCGGCGACCAGUACCAUGAAUUUAAUAUCAACGGGCAAACGGACGAAAAGAAGUGUUUGCUAGUAUUAGUGUUAUAUUAAUUACAUUCAAGGCUGCGAGUGGAAAGUUUAAAUCGAAAACGGAAUAAUUGCGAUUAUAACGUAUCGUGGCACACGCUAAUAGUCGUUUUACCUAAUAGCCAUCGCACCGAAGUGCCGAUCAAGAGUUUCGAUCUUACACCUGUUAUAGAUUCAUACGAUUAAAAAGUAAGUAGUCUACGAGGACAUUAUAUGUAUAAGAAAAAAUAUGUAGGUAGAUUUUAGAUUUUAAUUGGUAGAUUCAUCGUUGCACCUGCAACGAAAAUUGAAGCCGUCAAAAGACCGUAGUACGCGUACCACGAACGACGCACGCUAUUAUACAUUUGAACUGCUUUUGAAAAUUGAAGCGACUAACGUUUUGAAGCCACCGAUAGAAUGUCGGACAGCAAAGAUACCCGGUUUAUGUAAUGCCAUAGAUACAUAUACAUACUUAGGUAGGUAUAGGAGUGCGACGGUGUACUCGUACGUGCACACUCGCACCGACACGCUUCGUUCGGUGUCCGUUGGACUAUACGCGCGCUCGUGUACUCGCACACGGACGAGAGCUAGCGUCGCGGUCUCGCGAGAACUGCGCCGCGCCGCGACCUACUUGUCUAGGCCACUGUGUCUACGUUUCUAUAUACGCGGCUUAUGUUUUGCGUGAAAUUCGCGUCCGUUGCGAGCGAUGCGGAAUUGCUCGCUCGCCUGGACUCGCGCACUUUCCUGCCAGAUUCCAAGGAAUCAUCGAUCUUCGACGAGACGGAUAUGUACGUCUCGCGAGCCAGCUCGACCCGUCUGUCCGACUCGCUUCGUGAUCGGUAGAUCGUGAGCGAUCUUUUCCAGUCGACAAUUGCUCGCUACAACUUUCUCGUUUCAAGUCGAGCAAUUUAUUAACGUUUCUUUAUUUCCGAAACGAUUGAAGCAUCUCUUCAAUUUCAUCGUACGAAGGGUGAUUGUCCAACAACGAUCGAAAUCGUCGUCGGAAAGCUCGCUUCAUCGAAACCUUGGUCGUUCGUUAAAUCUACCGGAAAUCCCAACGAUCGUGUCCUCUGAUCGUCGACCGAAUGGCUGUACGUUCUUCGAAACGUCCUUCUGGCCCGUGUAUAUUCUUACAUCAAGAAAUUAAUUCGGCCAAACUUUUUAUCGAAGCUAUCGAGAACCCGGUGGGAUCUGGAAAUUGACGGUCGAACGAAAAUAUGUACGAGGAAAAGUGGUCGCGUUAGGAGAGCUGCGUCUAGACGAAAGACGACCUAGACGAACAAUCGGCGUCGCGAGAAGAUCUUGACCUGACGGACAUCGUCCUGACAGUCCGUUUGCUGUUUUCAAACGAAAUCUCUCUAAAUGUCUCUAAAAUUCAUGGAAACAAGGUCAAUGUAACUGAGCGAAUUCCUGUAAGGUCGCGAGCAUUCCUAGACCGGAAGACGAGCACGUUCCGAUUCCGUGGUGUUCCUUUAUUCGUGUCCCGUGGACGAGGCGACUCCGUGGCCAUCGAGCUCGGUCUAAACAACAAUUAACUACAGUUACGAGCGCGCCGGAUUCCAAGGAAUCUGGAACGCGACUGUAAAAAGUAAAGUAAGCGGUGUUUCUCUCUCCUCUCUCGGCCAGUCUCCUUUCCCCGAUCCUCCUCCCUUUCUCCUGCUCUCCCUGUUCCUACCACGACCACCUUCUAACCGCCACGAUUCGUGUCGACGAUGCAUCGGAGAAGGAGGCAUCUUUUUUUCAACGAGAGGAAGAAUCUCUCAGAAUUUGAGUAAACGCAUGCACGAUAUAUAGGUCUAGGUUAAAUCAGGUUAGGUCGCAGUUGAUCUAACUCGGACCGUUGAUCGGAAAAAAAUGGUCGGUGAAACAAAAUCGAGUUCAAAGAGAAAUUUUUAAAUACGAUACGACGUACCGUUGCCGCGAUCUCCGACUAUUAAUAAUUGAAUGUCGUGUAAGAAAAAUAAGCGUCUCUCUAAAUUGCCAAAACGUUGAAACAGACAGCAAGGGAGAGAGAGAGACCCUCGUGUUCCGGUGUCUCUCGGCAGUGGGUCGAGUGCAGCAUACAGUCGAGCAUUGGUCGCGACCCGAUCCCCGAUGCCUCGAUCCGCGAGGCCGCGCUUAGGGACAGUGGGUCAAGUAGGUCGGUCCCGCACUGCUCAGACAGCCGACAGGCGCGCGCUCUGAGGUUACGUAACCCCUCGGAGGGAGAAAGUCUCCCCUCCUGGCCCCGUCCCGUUCCGUCCCGUCCCGUUCCGACCCGGUAUAGCGGCGUCCUUCCAACGUAUCCCCGGUUCAACCGUUUGCCACCUCCACGACCACGAUCUGCGACUCGACUUGCCACGAUCUGUGUUUACAAACAAAUCCUCCCACCCACCUUUCCAGCGCACGAUCGUCCGCCAACAGCGCCGCCUGGAUCCCCCUGAAUCGACCAUCGUCGACCUGGUCGACGUAGACACCGCCGUUGGAGCACACCAGACUGCAUUGCGCAAAAUUGCACCACCACCGGUUCAACAAAUUUUCGUUAUCGCCUCCGGUCCCUUUUCCGGAAAUCUUUCCCCCCGAAAUUUCGCCAAGAACAGGGUCGAAGAUUUCGAAAAUUAAAUUUAGAUUCGCCCUUUCGAGAUCAGACGACGAUGGAGGAACAAAAGUACCAUUCUUGGCUCGAUUGCCUCGAUAUUUCACGUAAAACAUAGGAAAUAUUUAACUCCGGAAUCGACUCUUAUCUAAUUCGACGUCGUUAGAAUACUAAUACUUGCUCGCGCUAGUCGAUAUUUAUCUCGCGGAGUAAUCCCGAAAGUAGCCAGUUUUUCGUUACGAACGAAGACUCUCGAAGCUUUUUGAUUUCGCUCUUUCGCUAUACCUUUCUCGACACGAUUGCCCUACGUGAGCCGAUUUCGAGAGCAGAAACUUUGGCGAGCAAACGACUGCUUUCUUUCGUCGCGACGCGUUUCUCCAAACGGAGGAAUGGAGCUGAAUCGACGAUGGAAACCUUCUAACGCGACCUACGUCUAGUCUAGUGUGGCUUGUAAACAAUGACACGACUUAACUUUACGUAAUGUCGACCUCGUCGAACACGUCGUUUCUUUUUUCCCCUCUUUUUUUAUUUCUUCAUACUCUAUGGAUACAGGUCGUUCGCGAAUCGUGUUCGUCCGACAGGAAAAAUUAGAGAACUCGUUCGAGCGUGGCCCAUUUGAUCCGUUUCAUCGGAGCGCACUCGGUGCAAUUCGGGUCGCCACGCUCGACCACUGCACUCGACCCACUCGACAUCCGAACGAGCCACAUCCGAUCUCUCUGCCGCGAAUUCUUAAAUAAACGUGUCACCCGUUCAAAAUCUAUGAAAAUUAAGCGCUUUCGUAGCAGACUUUGAAUUAACGGUCGUUUUCGUUUUCGUUUUCGUUUUCGUUUCUAUAAUAAUCUCUCUGUAGAGAUAUAAUUCAGUAGAAUUAUAAGUACCUAAGGAUAUUGGGAAACUUUUGUCGAAUAGGAAGCUCGGUUAUCCGUUAAUCUUGGCUUACGUGGAAUCGUCGAAUUUUAAAGUGACUCAUUCCGUCCAUGAACG